rnacentral:rRNA from 1 species
GGCUUCGAAUUGGUCUGCCUACCAUGCAGUCGAGCGGCAGCGGAAGUAGCUUGCUACUUUGCCGGCGAGCGGCGGACGGGUGAGUAAUGUCUGGGAAACUGCCUGAUGGAGGGGGAUAACUACUGGAAACGGUAGCUAAUACCGCAUAACGUCGCAAGACCAAAGAGGGGGACCUUCGGGCCUCUUGCCAUCAGAUGUGCCCAGAUGGGAUUAGCUAGUAGGUGGGGUAACGGCUCACCUAGGCGACGAUCCCUAGCUGGUCUGAGAGGAUGACCAGCCACACUGGAACUGAGACACGGUCCAGACUCCUACGGGAGGCAGCAGUGGGGAAUAUUGCACAAUGGGCGCAAGCCUGAUGCAGCCAUGCCGCGUGUAUGAAGAAGGCCUUCGGGUUGUAAAGUACUUUCAGCGGGGAGGAAGGCGUUGAGGUUAAUAACCUCAGCGAUUGACGUUACCCGCAGAAGAAGCACCGGCUAACUCCGUGCCAGCAGCCGCGGUAAUACGGAGGGUGCAAGCGUUAAUCGGAAUUACUGGGCGUAAAGCGCACGCAGGCGGUCUGUCAAGUCGGAUGUGAAAUCCCCGGGCUCAACCUGGGAACUGCAUUCGAAACUGGCAGGCUAGAGUCUUGUAGAGGGGGGUAGAAUUCCAGGUGUAGCGGUGAAAUGCGUAGAGAUCUGGAGGAAUACCGGUGGCGAAGGCGGCCCCCUGGACAAAGACUGACGCUCAGGUGCGAAAGCGUGGGGAGCAAACAGGAUUAGAUACCCUGGUAGUCCACGCCGUAAACGAUGUCGACUUGGAGGUUGUGCCCUUGAGGCGUGGCUUCCGGAGCUAACGCGUUAAGUCGACCGCCUGGGGAGUACGGCCGCAAGGUUAAAACUCAAAUGAAUUGACGGGGGCCCGCACAAGCGGUGGAGCAUGUGGUUUAAUUCGAUGCAACGCGAAGAACCUUACCUACUCUUGACAUCCAGAGAACUUAGCAGAGAUGCUUUGGUGCCUUCGGGACUCUGAGACAGUGCUGCAUGGCUGUCGUCAGCUCGUGUUGUGAAAUGUUGGGUUAAGUCCCGCAACGAGCGCACCCUUAUCCUUUGUUGCCAGCGGUCCGGCGGGACUCAAAGAGACUGCAGUGAUAAACUUGGAAGAGAGAGGGUGGGGAUGACGUCAGUCAUCAUGUCCUACGAGUUAGGGCUACACACGUGCUACAUUGCCAUACAGAGAACGAACCUCGGCGAGAGCAGCGGACCUCUAUAAAUGCUG